ACACCUCAACUCUCAUGGUUUGCCAUGAUGAGCUUGGACUUUGGGGGUCUUGCUGGCCUAUGGUCAGCUCCUCUCAAAUGAAUCAGCUUGCCAGUGUUUGGUGGCAUCGCGGGUGUGAUAACUAUCUACACUUGUGGUUUUCCACCAGAUAACCUUCAGUGAUGAAGGUUCGCUGGAGCUCACAAAUGUCUCUCCUCGGUGAGGACAGCUUUCUGAAC
rnacentral:misc_RNA from 1 species